UCCAUGGCCAUGGUUUGCUGUUUUGAGAGGCCUCAGAGUCUUUUUACAUUUGGCAUGCUUUAUGUGAGGAGGCUCUGGGUGUCUGGAGGUUAAGAGAAGAAAAUGACUUCUACACGUUCC